UAGAGGCUCUACGGGAGAACUCUC
rnacentral:piRNA from 1 species